UACAGGGGGGGCAAGCGUUGUUCGGAAUUACUGGGCGUAAAGGGCUCGUAGGUGGCCAACUAAGUCAGACGUGAAAUCCCUCAGCUUAACUGGGGAACUGCGUCUGAUACUGGAUGGCUCGAGUGCAGGAGAGGAACGCGGAAUUCCAGGUGUAGCGGUGAAAUGCGUAGAUAUCUGGAGGAACACCGGUGGCGAAGGCGGCGUUCUGGACUGCAACUGACACUGAGGAACGAAAGCCAGGGGAGCAAACGGG
rnacentral:rRNA from 1 species